rnacentral:snoRNA from 1 species
AACAAUGUCUUAAUUGAUAGACGCCCAGAGUCACGAUUCGUCUUAGUUUUAGAAAAUUCUAUUUCGAUAGUUUUUUUUAGACGGUGGACGUAUAUAGUUUACUAUACGGUGGGGUACUAAUACUAUUUCACUGUCGUGCUCGCGGUUGAUCUUAGAUAAAAAAAUUUCUUUUUUAUAAAAGGAAGUGAGUAGAUCUUCCCUGGAAGUACGAUCAAUGUACUUAUGAUUAGAUUUUCUUCACGCACAUAC